CAAAGGAGCCAUUCAUCCAGGUCUCAGCUGAGGACUCCAGUGCAGGUGUUGCAAGACAGCAGACGUAGCACUGCUUAUGUGUAUCCUGAAGUCCCAUGUGUAUCCUGAAGUCCCAGAAAGCUGCUUCAAGUAGAUUCCAGUGGAGAAGGGAGUCACCAAGGCUGGACAGUCAUUUAUCCAUGGCAGGACUAGCAAAAAAAUCUGCACCAUCUCUCAUCGCACACACGUGGGUAAGGUUUGGACUGGUAUGAUCUUUUUCCAUAAUGUCAUUUUCGUGAUUUCUUAACUGAGAAUAUAAUAGUAAAUACCAAUCUCACAGAAUUGUUAUGAGGAAUGCAGAAACUUAAUCAAAUUACUUAAUUGUUAUUUUCAUUUCUUAUUAAUUUGUUCCCAUUGAAAUUAAUGUUAUGUCUGGUCUCAUUUUAAAUUAUUUAUCGUUCUGAAUUUGGAUCCCAUCCUCAAGUUUUCAAUGCUUGACUUUUUAUGAAUUCUUGUAUUAUACCUCAAAUUUAAUAAAAUCCUUUUAAUCUUGUCUUCACCCUAGCACUGUCUAUACUGUCCCCUGGGUGGAAGUUUCCCAUCAUUCUAAUUACUUUUGUACACAAAUUUGACUUCUCUCUCCAGCCCCUGUGAGAAACAUGUCCUUUCUGUUACACAGGGAGUAGGUGAAGGCCUUUGGACUUCCUAUUUUUCCUAUAUGAAACUCUCUUCUUUCAGAUAUCAGAAUUUUCCUCUCUCUCUUUCAUUCAGAACUCUGCUAGACAAUCAUCUUACCAGAAAGAUUUUUAUUCAUCACCCUGUGCUAAAUAACAUUGGUACUAUGCUGGACUGAGCUACUAUUUUUCCUUGAAUCCUGCUGUAGGCUUUUCUUCAGACACUUACCAUCACCAGGCGUAAUGUGAAUGUGUUUGUUCAUUGCAUGUCUUCUCCACGUGAAUGGAAACUUCAUGACAAGAAUGUGUUCCAGGGCUGGGCGCCGCGGCUCACGUCUGGAAUCCCAGCACAUUGGGAGGCCGAGGCGGGCGGAUCACAAGGCGCAGUCAACAGCAGUGGAAGAGCUGGCUCAUGUGUGGCUCAGGCUGACUCCACAAUCAGAGUGAUUAUGUGGAAAUCAAUCAGAAUUUUCUUCUUAGAAGAUGUUUGUUCUGACAUAAUGACUGACUUUCCAGCUAAUUUUUAUUCAUAGGCUUCUCCUUGCACAAUGAUCUCUAUUUCUCUCAAUGUUAUUCUGUGUCUUUCUUGCUUGCCUGCACAUUCUGAAAAAAAAAGGAAAGCAAUUCCCUACAUUUUAUUUUGAUACUUAAUGUUGUUUGCUAACAUAUUCAGAACACAAUGCAACUUUAUAUAUUAGAGCACUUAUAAUAUAUAUUAGGAAAACAUCAAUUAGGUACCACCAGUUAUUUUAGACAGGUAUCUCUUAGGUAAAAUGUGGUGAAAAUAGAGGGGCAAUGAUAGAAUUCAUAUGUGAAAGAGUCAAUUGGCCAUCAUUAUGCCAAAAUUAUUUUGUGGUUCAGGGGACAUUUUAAACUUUAAUUUUUAAGAAUUAAACUUUAAUUAAAUUUAUUGUAGUUUAAAUGCAAUCACAAGGAAAGACUCUGAACUGGAAACACCAAGCCAAGCUCUUUCCUAGUUCUGGUCCCCUAUAAACCCUGAAAGUUAAUGCAAUUAUUGUAAUUUUUAAACCACCGAGUUCUCAGGGUGAUUAGUUAUGCAGCAAUAGAUAGCCUGAAAAGGACCAUUCUUUCUGGCACUGAAAAUUAAGAAGAGUGAUUAACAACAUAAGAAUGUAGUUUGUGCUGUCUGCCACAGAUUUAUGUUGUAGCUUCAGUGAUUGCUUCAAAGCACCCUUACUAAUUGCCAGCCUAUUGCUGAUACCUAGCUAAAUUAGCAUGUGUUAGUUUUGAUACCACUAUAGGCAUUUAAAGGAUAGCUGAUACAUUCUAUAUAAAAUAUAAUUAUUUUCCUAUCUUUAGUUUAUCCUAAAGUAGCAGCUAUUAUAUUCGCUUCUUGAUUAGCUUUAUACAUAACCAGAGAAAGUAAAAUAUCACAGAGUAUAUUUGAAGACAUAAAAGUCUUUGGACAAAGCUCAAGUAAUGAAUCAGGAUGCUAUUACAUCCUCCACAUGACAGUAAAUAUAUUUUAUAUUCCUAAAUUUUAAGCUUUUAACAAAAGCAAAUUUUAUACUGGACUAUUUCAAUUUCUAGGGAAAGGAAAUUAUCAUUUACUGUCUUUGAGGCUAUAAUCUAUUUAGCCAUUAUUUUUAUAUUGAUCAAUUUAUAAUAAAGGUAAGAGAAAAUACUACCACAUAUAUGUUGUUUAUAUAAUUUUAACUUUCAUAAUUAAAAUACUGGGUAUACUGCAAGAUGUCAAUAUUUAUAAUAGCUUAUAUUUGGAAACAAUUAUACUUUAUAUACUCCUAAUCCAUUGCCUUGUGUGUCAUUGAAGAAAUUGAAGUUCACAAUAAUGACUGAACAAAUGCUCAAAGCUGGUCUGUGGCAGAACCAAAAAUUUCCAUGGCACCUUUCUCUUUCCAUAUUGGGGUGAUCUGCCUAAUUUGACUUUCUGCUUAUAUGUCUAGACUCUACCCCUCAUUCCUUCUGCUAGUGUGUUGUUGAACCCUUUCUAUUAACCCACUCUCGAUUUUUCUGUUGCACAAUCAAUCUGUAGCCUGAAUGUUGAGUCCCAAAUGCAUGAGCUACCUGGCCGAGUAAUCUAACUAGAUUAGCCUGAGUAUAUCACUUUAAGGCCAAUGUAAAGUUAUGUUGUAACUACCUCAUAGUUUUGCAGAGGCAAGAAAUAGAAGUUAAGGAAGAGAAGAAGCCAAUCUUGAAUCAGUUAGAAUUUCCUUGGACAUAGAAAAUCUCUACAAGCAAAAACCCAUUUGAUUGAACAAGCAAGCUUAUGCAGUUAAAUAUAUCAAAGAUCUUGUCACAAAAAGUGUAAAGGGAAAGUAAAAUAAGGAGGGAGCAUGAAGAAGCCAGCUUAUAUUAAAGAUUCAAAGCAGGGAUAUAAGGAAAUUCAAGCCAAAAAUAAGGAAGAAUUCUUAUAAAUGCCCCAAGAAUGAAUUCGAUGUUUGGUCGAUAUUCCAACAGAUUUAGUAAUGCUAUUUUUAAAGUCAACAGGCUGCCCAUUUUUGCCUCACACUCUGACUGCAUGUAAUCUGUCAAGUACUCUGAUGAGUUCUGGAGAUGCUAAUGCAAAAAAGAUAUAAAAUCCUUACCUUGAAAAUGUAGUUCACAAUUUAGCCAUGGAGUUAUGGCAAGCAUCUUGUCUUCAAUUUUAGCCCCUCCUCCAUCCCUCUCCCAGACACCCAUUGUCCUCUUUCUCACCACAUCCACCCCCUUUUUUGUCCUGUCUUUGGUGCACUAUUUAUAAUUCUUCUCAUGUCUACCACAACUAUUUUGGGUAGUAAGAACAUCAGUAUGGAGACCCCUUAAUCCUAACUAAUAUCAACUCUAUCUGUUUGGUAUUAAUUCUUGUUUAUUGAACUUGAGGCAUUGAGUACUACAAAAAUUAUAAUACACUACUGGUGAACAUUACUUUAUUAAUGAUUAGGUUCCACUUGGAUGUUUGUCAUUCGUAUGUAGCUGUUCUCUCCUUGUAGCCUGUAAACUUUCUAUGGAUGUCACAAAAAGAGUUUUAAGGAUUUUGCUUAAAUUAAAAUUAAUACAUCAAGAAAAUACUAUGCCUCAAACAAAAAAUAAUCAGUUAAUUUAGUUUUUAGAAAUCUUUUACAAAAAACGUGAUAUUUAAUAAUCUUUAUGCAAGGAUUUUUGGGAUAUUAAAAUUGUCACAGAUUUAAUAAUACGUUUUAUUGUAUAAAAUUUUUCUUUUCUCUUCAAAGUGUUGGGAGAGUGAAUUCUCUAAGUAAAAACUGAAGAGUAAGAUGUUAUCAUUAAACAUUUCAGAAAAUGCACACUAUCGUAGACUGCGCACUGUGAAAAUGAUCAGCUAGUAGAGGUUUUGGUGAACAUAUAGUAACUUUUAUCAACAAGUAAUGUGAAUAUGUGAAAUCUAUUGCUUUUCCAAAAGAAAGAAACUUUUACACUUCUUGGUAAAGAUAAACUUUCAUGUAAGAAAAAAUAAAAACAUAAUUUUAGCAAUCCAAACCAUACUAAAAUCAUAAACACUUGACCACAUGUUUGAGUACCCCAAAAAUUGUUCCUGUGUGGAUUCUUCUUCUAGGAUGAUCAGUCCUCAUGGCCUUACUACUCUCCAUUUCUGUCCCACUGAGGUUAGCCAAAGUUCACUUGCCUUGUCAGUUAAGUUUCUAAAUCAGAUG
rnacentral:lncRNA from 1 species